rnacentral:rRNA from 1 species
GAGUUUGAUCGUGGCUCAGGUUGAACGCUGGCGGCAUGCCUUACACAUGCAAGUCGAACGGCAGCACGGGAGCUUGCUCCUGGUGGCGAGUGGCGAACGGGUGAGUAAUGCAUCGGAACGUAUCCUGGAGUGGGGGAUAACGUAGUGAAAGUUACGCUAAUACCGCAUAUUCUGUGAGCAGGAAAGCGGGGGACCUUCGGGCCUCGCGCUCUUGGAGCGGCCGAUGUCGGAUUAGCUAGUUGGUGAGGUAAAGGCUCACCAAGGCGACGAUCCGUAGCAGGUCUGAGAGGAUGAUCUGCCACACUGGAACUGAGACACGGUCCAGACUCCUACGGGAGGCAGCAGUGGGGAAUUUUGGACAAUGGGGGCAACCCUGAUCCAGCCAUGCCGCGUGAGUGAAGAAGGCCUCGGUGUAAG